UACGAAGGGGGCUAGCGUUGCUCGGAAUCACUGGGCGUAAAGGGUGCGUAGGCGGGUCUUUUAAGUCAGGGGUGAAAUCCUGGAGCUCAACUCCAGAACUGCCUUUGAUACUGGAGAGCUUGAGUCCGGAAGAGGUGAGUGGAACUCCGAGUGUAGAGGUGAAAUUCGUAGAUAUUCGGAAGAACACCAGCGGCGAAGGCGGCUCACUGGUCCGGUACUGACGCUGAGGUGCGAAAGCGUGGGGAGCAAACAGG
rnacentral:rRNA from 1 species